rnacentral:ncRNA from 1 species
GUCGGUCAAAGGCAAACUUCGCGAAAGCGGAGGACGCAAAGCUAUAGGGGCUCGACACGACGUGUCGUGCCAGCCAGCUGCCUGG